ensembl:lncRNA
AUGUCGGGGUCCCACCGACCCCCAACUCACCAUGGCCUCGUUUGCUGGCUGGAGUCCACUCAGGCGGAACUGGAUGCAAGAUGCUGGGACCUGGCCUGCGACUUCCCCCUGCCUUCCGUGUUCCUGGUCUGCUGGGAUAACCAGCUCAGCUAUUUCCGUCAACGUCCAGGGCCUGGGAGCUGCUUGGUCUGUGCCCCUGGAGUCCUGAUUCCACCAUUUGUUACAUUUCCUUGUGUGGAAUCUCGGUUUUCCUGUCCCUAUUAUGGGGAAAGAAGCCAUCUCCUUCAUGGGAAAGAAGGAACGCUCACAGUCAGCUCAGCAGUCCCCGCACCCGUGUCUUUACUCUGCGGCAGGACCAUGCCAAGCUCUUCUCCAGCGGGAUCUCCAGGAACCUUCAAACAGCCUCAUAACUCGGUCACGGUGAUCAUUCCCAUUUUACAGAGGAGCAAACUGAGACACACGCCUAAGGAGCUGAGUCUGCUGCUCGGCCCCCCUGGGAGGUACCCAGGUACCCAAAAUCCAACACUGGGGGCUUCUUGGUUUGUAAUCUGGAGGGCCUGGAACUCUGCAAACUUCCUCACUCCUGGAAUCCGUCACUGGAUGUCACCACUGCCCUGGCGCUCAGGAAUGCUACUCCUUCGGACCUUAAGAAGCUGAAUCACAGGCUGGAGGGAAGAAUCCCAGGCGGAUACUUUACCACUGAGCCACCAGGGAAGCCAGAGGGGAAGACAAAGCGGGACAGAACAAAUGUACAAAAUCAGAAGUGUGAAGAAGAAAUAACCACGGAUGGAGCAGCGACAG